AAAGAAGGAAGUGCUCAUGCCAUUGUACAGAACACUGGUGAGACCUCACUUGGAGUAUUGUACGCAGUACUGGAGACCGUAUCUUCAGAAGGAUAUUGAUACCUUAGAGAGAGUUCAGAGAAGGGCUACUAAACUGGUUCAUGGAUUGCAGGAUAAAACUUACCAGGAAAGGUUAAAGGAUCUUAACAUGUAUAGCUUGGAGGAAAGACGAGACAGGGG